rnacentral:rRNA from 1 species
GACGAACGCUGGCGGCGUGCUUAACACAUGCAAGUCGAACGGAAAGGCCUCUUUCGGGGGGUACUCGAGUGGCGAACGGGUGAGUAACACGUGAGUAACCUGCCCUUGACUUUGGGAUAACUUCAGGAAACUGGGGCUAAUACCGGAUAGGAGCUCCUGCUGCAUGGUGGGGGUUGGAAAGUUUCGGCGGUUGGGGAUGGACUCGCGGCUUAUCAGCUUGUUGGUGGGGUAGUGGCUUACCAAGGCUUUGACGGGUAGCCGGCCUGAGAGGGUGACCGGCCACAUUGGGACUGGGAUACGGCCCAGACUCCUACGGGAGGCAGCAGUGGGGAAUAUUGCACAAUGGGUGGAAGCCUGAUGCAGCAACGCCGUGUGCGGGAUGACGGCCUUCGGGUUGUAAACCGCUUUCGCUCAUGACGAAGCUUUGUGUGACGGUAGUGGGUAAAGAAGCACCGGCUAACUACGCG